UAUGCUCUCAGGUCAUUGACAACGGUGCAGGUCACUGAAAUUUGGUAACAGCUACUAUACCUAAUUACUGUUGAUUUUUAUUUUAUUUUAAUCUUAUUAGUUUUUUCUUCCUGAAUCUCCUGUGAGGGUUUGGGGAACUCAUCAAUCCACCCUUCAUUUUGCAGGGCACCGUGGGUCCUUUGGAUCCUAUUGUUUCCAUUUGGCGCUUACCAGUGCUUGUAACAAUUGUUGUUUUGGUUGUUUUUCUAUGGUGGGCAGAAUAUAUAGGAUAUGGUUCAACACAGUGUAAGACUAAUUCAGUUUUGUUUUCUUUUUUCUUUCCCUCACUUUUUAAAGCUCGUUAUAGCUUCUGCAGUUAAGAUACAGUACGUAUCAGUUCUUGUUUUGAUGACUACAUCUAAAGCUUUGUUUUAGUUUUUUCCCCACUUCAGUUUCCAAAUAAUAUUGUUUUCGUCUUGUGUGGUUUACUAAGAAACUUAGAAGUCAUCAUAUGAUUUAUGCAUUCAGAAUCGCCAAGGCUUCUCGCGUUGCAUCAGAACAUGAGAUAAGUACUUCCACUGUUUCAAAUUCCAUGCUCUGGUUUCUAAAGUGGUUGCCAUGUGUUUUACUCAUAUGGCGACCUGUUCUGUAACAUGUCUGUAGAACUGAAGCAAUGUGUUUUGAAUUUGUUUCUAGGGCUUAGCUUAUGUUCUAGCAAUGUGUUCUACUCAAAUGGUGGCCUGUCCUUAACAUGUAUGUAGAACUUAGCUUCUGUUCUCGCAAAGAAUGGUUCAUCUCUGCUUCUCUUGAUAGAUCUGUUCUGCUUUGGGAUCAGAUGGGUAAGAAGUGCCAGCUCCGUUAUAGCUUCUGCAAUUAAGAUACAGUAUCAGUUCUUGUUUUGAUGACUACAUCUAAACCUUUGUUUUCGGGUCCUAAUAUCUGUUGUGCGUAUUUUUAGUGUGGAGAGAAUCUAUGCACGGUUUAGGGGGAGAGGCUGAUGCUAGAAUGGAAGCAUGUUCUUAAAUACACAAACAAUACAAGGAAGCACUGGGAAAUAUGCUUUUAGCGCGUGGCCUCACUUAGCUUCAUAUCAGAGUUCUCCAGGUGCAAAGAAUAAGACCGAUUCCAAUAGCACAACUAUAUUUGUUGGAAAUCUGGAUGCUAACAUUACUGAUGAUCCAGUAUGGUGAGCUAGUACAUGUUAAGACACCAGCAGGCAAGUGAUGUGGGUUUGUUCAGUUCACAGACAGGAGCCGUGCUGCUGAGGCUUUGCAAGGAUUAAACAAUUCUCAGCUUGGGGAACAAAAUAUCCAACUUUCUUGGGGUUGCAGUCCUUCAAACAAGCAGCAGCAGGCUCAGGCAGAUCCAAACCAAUGGAAUGCUGGCUAUUAUGGAUACUAGCUCCGACUCAGCUUCCUAUUGUUUUUCUUUGUCCCUGUAAAUAAAUCCUUACCUGCACAUGUAUUUCACUCUGUGAGGUUGUAUGUGAUAUGCA